rnacentral:rRNA from 1 species
AUGAACGCUGGCGGCGUGCCUAAUCCCUGCAAGUCGAGCGAACAGACGAGGAGCUUGCUCCUCUGACGUUAGCGGCGGACGGGUGAGUAACACGUGGAUAACCUACCUAUAAGACUGGGAUAACUUCGGGAAACCGGAGCUAAUACCGGAUAAUAUAUUGAACCGCAUGGUUCAAUAGUGAAAGACGGUUUUGCUGUCACUUAUAGAUGGAUCCGCGCCGCAUUAGCUAGUUGGUAAGGUAACGGCUUACCAAGGCGACGAUGCGUAGCCGACCUGAGAGGGUGAUCGGCCACACUGGAACUGAGACACGGUCCAGACUCCUACGGGAGGCAGCAGUAGGGAAUCUUCCGCAAUGGGCGAAAGCCUGACGGAGCAACGCCGCGUGAGUGAUGAAGGUCUUCGGAUCGUAAAACUCUGUUAUUAGGGAAGAACAAAUGUGUAAGUAACUAUGCACGUCUUGACGGUACCUAAUCAGAAAGCCACGGCUAACUACGUG